rnacentral:rRNA from 1 species
CCUACGGGAGGCAGCAGUGAGGAAUAUUGGUCAAUGGACGAGAGUCUGAACCAGCCAAGUAGCGUGAAGGAUUACUGCCCUAUGGGUUGUAAACUUCUUUUAUAUGGGAAUAAAAUGUUCCACGUGUGGGAUUUUGUAUGUACCAUAUGAAUAAGGAUCGGCUAACUCCGUGCCAGCAGCCGCGGUAAUACGGAGGAUCCGAGCGUUAUCCGGAUUUAUUGGGUUUAAAGGGAGCGUAGGUGGAUUGUUAAGUCAGUUGUGAAAGUUUGCGGCUCAACCGUAAAAUUGCAGUUGAAACUGGCAGUCUUGAGUACAGUAGAGGUGGGCGGAAUUCGUGGUGUAGCGGUGAAAUGCUUAGAUAUCACGAAGAACUCCGAUUGCGAAGGCAGUUCACUGGACUGCAACUGACACUGAGGCUCGAAAGUGUGGGUAUCAAACGGGAUUAGAUACCCUUGUAGUC